UACGAAGGGGGCUAGCGUUGUUCGGAAUUACUGGGCGUAAAGGGCUCGUAGGUGGCCAACUAAGUCAGACGUGAAAUCCCUCGGCUUAACCGGGGAACUGCGUCUGAUACUGGAUGGCUUGAGAUUGGGAGAGGGAUGCGGAAUUCCAGGUGUAGCGGUGAAAUGCGUAGAUAUCUGGAGGAACACCGGUGGCGAAGGCGGCAUCCUGGACCAACACUGACACUGAGGAGCGAAAGCCAGGGGAGCAAACGGG
rnacentral:rRNA from 1 species